rnacentral:rRNA from 1 species
ACUGAUAGACGUUGGAAGGCUAGGGAAAGCGGGGACCGAGAGAAAUCUCAGAAACUGCCGGAUCUAGCCGGAAAUCGUUAUUCGGUUAGUGGCAGACGGGUGAGUAACACGUGGGUGACCUGCCCCAAAGUGGGGAAUAACUACUCGAAAGGGUAGCUAAUUCCGCAUGUGGUCCGUCAUUCGUUUGGCGGACGAAAGGGCCUCGGCCCGCUUUGGGAGGGGCCCGCGGCCGAUUAGCUAGUUGGUGAGGUAACGGCUCACCAAGGCGAUGAUCGGUAGCUGGUCUGAGAGGACGAUCAGCCACACUGGCACUGACACACGGGCCAGACUCCUACGGGAGGCAGCAGUGAGGAAUUUUGCACAAUGGGCGAAAGCCUGAUGCAGCAACGCCGCGUGGGUGAUGAAGGCCUUCGGGUUGUAAAACCCUUUUCUGGGGGAAGAGGAAGGACGGUACCCCAGGAAUAAGUCUCGGCUAACUACGUGCCAGCAGCCGCGGUAAUACGUAGGAGACGAGCGUUAUCCGGAUUUACUGGGCGUAAAGCGCGCGCAGGCGGUGAUCUAAGUUGGAUGUGAAAUCUCCCGGCUCAACCGGGAGGGGUCGUUCAAUACUGGAUCACUUGAGGGCAGAAGAGGGAAGUGGAAUUCCCGGUGUAGCGGUGGAAUGCGCAGAUAUCGGGAGGAACACCAGUGGCGAAGGCGGCUUCCUGGUCUGUUUCUGACGCUGAGGCGCGAAAGCUAGGGUAGCAAACGGGAUUAGAUACCCCGGUAGUCCUAGCUGUAAACGAUGGAUACUAGGUGUCGGUGGUGUUGACUCCAUCGGUGCCAAAGCUAACGCGUUAAGUAUCCCGCCUGGGGACUACGGCCGCAAGGCUAAAACUCAAAGGAAUUGACGGGGACCCGCACAAGCAGCGGAGCGUGUGGUUCAAUUCGAUUCAACACGAAGAACCUUACCUGGGCUUGACAUGCUGGUGGUAGUGACGCGAAAGCCGAUCGACCCUUCGGGGAGCCAGCACAGGUGUUGCAUGGCUGUCGUCAGCUCGUGCCGUGAGGUGUUGGGUUAAGUCCCGCAACGAGCGCAACCCCCGCUGUUAGUUAAAUAUCUCUAGCAGGACUGCCGGUACAAAACCGGAGGAAGGUGGGGACGACGUCAAGUCAGCAUGACCUUUAUGUCCAGGGCUACACACACGCUACAAUGGCCGGUACAAUGGGUUGCCAAGCCGUGAGGCGGAGCCAAUCCCCCAAAACCGGUCUCAGUAGGAUUGGAGGCUGCAACUCGCCUCCAUGAAUCUGGAGUUGCUAGUAACCGCCGGUCAGCCAUACGGCGGUGAAUACGUUCCCGGGUCUUGUACACACCGCCCGUCACGUCAUGGGAGCCGGUAACACCUGAAGCCAGUGGGCUAACCCGCAAGGGAGGCAGCUGUCGAAGGUGGGACUGGUGACUGGGACGAAGUCGUAACAAGGUA